rnacentral:rRNA from 1 species
CUACGGGGCGCUCCAGUGAGGAAUAUUGCACAAUGGGGGGAACCCUGAUGCAGCAACGCCGCGUGGAGGAUGACGCAUUUCGGUGUGUAAACUCCUUUUAUAUGUCAAGAAAAUGACGGUAGCAUAUGAAUAAGCACCGGCUAACUCCGUGCCAGCAGCCGCGGUAAUACGGAGGGUGCAAGCGUUACUCGGAAUCACUGGGCGUAAAGGACGCGUAGGCGGGUUGGAAAGUCAGGUGUGAAAUCCUACAGCUUAACUGUAGAACUGCACUUGAAACUUCCAAUCUAGAGUAUGGGAGGGGGAGAUGGAAUUAGUGGUGUAGGGGUAAAAUCCGUAGAUAUCACUAGGAAUACCUAAAGCGAAGGCGAUCUCCUGGAGCAUUACUGACGCUAAGGCGUGAAAGCGUGGGGAGCAAACAGGAUUAGAUACCCUAGUAGUC